ACUGCUCAGUAACACGUGGCUAAUCUGCCCUUAGGACGAGAACAACCCCGGGAAACUGGGGCUAACUCUUGAUAGGUGAAGAACUCUGGAAUGAGUCUUUGCCUAAAAAGAUUCACGUUAUCCUCGUGAACCUGCCUAAGGAUGAGGCCGCGACCGAUCAGGUUGUUGGCGAGGUAAUGGCUCACCAAGCCUUUUACCGGUGCGGGCCGUGGGAGCGGGAGCCCGGAGAUGGGUACUGAGACAAGGACCCAGGCCCUACGGGGCGCAGCAGUCGCGAAACCUUUGCAAUACACGAAAGUGUGACAGGGCUAUCCCGAGUGCCAUCCGCUGAGGAAGGCUUUUACCCAGUCUAGAACGCUGGGGGAAUAAGGAGAGGGCAAGUCUGGUGUCAGCCGCCGCGGUAAUACCAGCUCUCCGAGUGGUGUGGAUGUUUAUUGGGCCUAAAGCAUCCGUAGCUGGCUAGGUAAGUCCCUUGUUAAAUCCACCGAAUUAAUCGUUGGAUCGCGGGGGAUACUGCUUGGCUAGGGGACGAGAGAGGCAGACGGUAUUUUCGGGGUAGGGGUGAAAUCCUAUAAUCCCGGGAAGACCACCAGUGGCGAAGGCUGUCUGCUAGAACGCGCCCGACGGUGAGGGAUGAAAGCUGGGGGAGCGAACCGGAUUAGAUACCCGGGUAGUCCCAGCUGUAAACGAUGCAGACUAGGUGUUUGGACGGCCACGUGCCGUUCUAGUGCCGCAGGGAAGCUGUUAAGUCUGCCGCCUGGGGAGUACGAUCGCAAGAUUGAAACUUAAAGGAAUUGGCGGGGGAGCAC
rnacentral:rRNA from 1 species